AGAAAGAAAGAAAGAAAAAAAGAAAAGAAAAAGAAGACGAACAAGAGGUGAUGGCGAGGGGAACCUUUGCUAAUAUUCACAUUGUUAACAAGCUCUUGAAGGGAGAAGCCAAAGACAGUUCACAUUCUAAUAGGCGAGAAGCUCUAUGUUUUUUAUACGGCGAUGAGGUACAAGGCUUAUAGCCAUGACACCAUUGUCCUGGCUGGAGCUGAGUAUGGAAGUGGAAACUCUCAAGAUUGGGUUGCCAAGGGUCCAAUGUUGUUGAUGCCAUUAAUGCAAUAAAUGGAACAAUCAUUACUUAUGGACAGGGUUAUAAUGUUGUGUUGAUCUCCAACCAUCAGACAGAAGCUGAACCAAUGAUAAUUGCCUUGUUGCUUGAGACAUCACACCCUCAUGCUACUGAGAAGAUGGAAUGUUACAUUUGGGCAGAGAACAUCACAGUAUAGAGGUGUUACAAGGCAUAGGUGGACUGGUAGAUAUGAAGCCCAUCUAUGGGACAACAGCUGCAAGAAGGCAGGCCAGACUAGAAAAGGCAGGCAAGGUUAGUAAAACAAUAGGGGGGUAACCAUUUUCAGCAUUGUUAGUUU